GAUCAUGGCUCAGGAUGAACGCUGGCGGCGUGCUUAACACAUGCAAGUCGAGCGAAGCAAUUUAAGUGAAGUUUUCGGAUGGGUCUUAGAUUGACUGAGCGGCGGACGGGUGAGUAACGCGUGGAUAACCUGCCUCACACAGGGGGAUAACAGUUAGAAAUGACUGCUAAUACCGCAUAAGCGCACGGUACCGCAUGGUGCAGUGUGAAAAACUCCGGUGGUGUGAGAUGGA
rnacentral:rRNA from 1 species